rnacentral:lncRNA from 1 species
GAGAGUGAUUUAUUACUUAUGUGUCACUUUCCUCUAAAAAGGCAUAAACUCAGAGUUCCCAUUGCGCCUCAGCGGUAACAAACCAGACUAGUAUCCAAGAGGUAGUGGGUUUGAUCCCUGGCCUUGCUCAGUGAGUUAAGAAUCAGGCGUUGCCCUUAGCUGUAGGAUAGGUUGCAGACGCAGCUCACAUACUGCCUUGCUAUGGCUUUGGCGUGGGUUGGCAGCUACAGCUCCAAUUUGACCCCUAGCCUGGGAAUUUCUGUAUGCCUUGGGUACAGGCUUAAAAAGACACACACACAAAAGGCAUAAACUCUUCUGUAGAUUUUACCUUCAAAGAUAGUCACCUAAUAACUUGCAAAACCUGAAUAGUGGGGGAGUUAAUUUUAUAACAGCACUUUAUAAAGUAUUCAACAUUUUCCAACAUAAAUGUAUUUAAUCUGAAAAUUAGAAUAAGACAAUGUUUAAAGUUUGCUUUUUAGAGUAUAAGAAUAAAUGUCGAGUCUACUAGAAGCUUUUGCUUUUAUCUUUAUUAUGAUUAGGUAAUAGAAGAUUUUUUAAAAAUUCCCAUUUAGUAGAUGACAAAAUGAGCUUAAUAUGUUACUCAAGAUCAUGGAACUAUUAAACAGAGCCAAGAUUUGAACCGGAUUUUCUGAAUACAAUGCUGGCAUAUUUUCUGUAUUCAAUUUUAUAUGUGUGGUAUCCCUGUGUGGUAUCCCUCUUGCCUUCCUCCUAGUGUUCAGUGUGAAGAUGGUCAAAUGCUGUUUUAGUCAUCUCUAAAUAGUGUGUAUUCUGUGUACACUGGUUUUUAAGCAGUAUAUUUUCUAUAUUUGAGGGGAAAUAUAUGUAGCUAAAAAUUUUUAAAUAGUUUUUUUAACUCAAUUUUUAAAAGUGUUUUGUUUUGAAUUAGAAAGAACCUUCAAUUUACUAGUCAUGACUUCGAAGUCAAGGAGCUAAAGUGUAGAAAUAAUAGUAAAGCUGGAUUUAGACUGCAUGAGUCUUACCUAUUUUCCUCUUUACUAGAUUUACAAUUAUUGUAUUUGAUUCCACAUGGAAUUAUUACUGGUCCACUACCGGUGCACAAUCCCUAGUUUGAAACCAUUAGGGGGCCUGUAUUUGUGGAGGUUCAGGUUUUUCAAGAAUUUUAAGAAGUGCCUAUGCUGUAUAAAUAGUGUAUCAUCACCAGUCUGGGGGUAGUGCUCCUAUAAGCAAACACAGUAAUACUCUAGUAAAAUUUCCAAAUUUUCACACUUAAAAAACAAAUCCUCAAAAUUCCUGACGUGUGGGUUAAGAAUCCGACUCUAGUGCCUGGGGUCACUGCAGAGGUGCAGUUGGAUCCCAGACAGUGGGUUAAAUGAUCUCAUGCCGUGUUGGCAGCUGUGGUUUAGGUUGUAGCUGCCCCUCGGAUUCAAUCCCCAGCCUGGGAACUUCCUUAUACGGCAGGAGCGACCAUAAAAUGGGGGGGGAAAUGCUAGGAAGUCCCUUAUUUACCCUUCAUGUUUAUUUACUACCAUAUACAUUAUGAAAAAAACUUUGUUUUUUCAGAACUUUCUGAAUUUCUAAACUGUAGAUGAGAGACUGUGGACCUCCAACAGCAGGAGUUAAUUUCUUAACCUUCAAUUUUAGAAAAAAUAAAAUGACUGGAAACUCGAUAGAGCUAUCACUUACUAAGGAACUCUUUUUUUUGUGUGUGCCAAUUCCGCCAAGUAACACAUUUUUCAAAAUCUUGAAACAACUCUUUAAGCAAAGGUACAUAUUAUCCCUAUUUAGUAUGUGAGAUAGCUAAAUAAAUUAGCAACUUGCCCAGUUCACCUAAGCAUUGAGGCGAAGCAGGAAUUCAGAUAGAAGUUGUGGCCAACUCAAAGCCAGUGUGUUCUUUUCAUGAGACACUACCACAGGGUGUUACUCUUCCUUGUGGUAGUAGCACACUCUACCAACUUUAAAGUCAGCUGGGGGGGGGGUGUGGAUGGAGAAAAGGACAAUUUUGUGAAAGGAAAAGGAGACUAUGUGAAGGACCUGAAUAUACACCUUGGUGUACGAAAGAAAGCACUGCAUAGUGUGAGGCUUUUGUGGGAAGAAGCGUGAGUGUUAGAUAAGUGGCAUUGCUUUAACUGCAUACAUUUCAUAAUUCAGGACACUUCCCCCUGACCAAAAUGACUAGAUUCCAAAGCCACCCAAAGGACACUGCAAGAAAAUUAAUGGGCUCAUUUUACAUACACAUAUAGAUGCAAGAGUGCUGAACAGAAUAUUAGCUGAGUCUAGUAUGUAUUAAUAUGUAUAUAUGAUCAAAUAGGAUUUGUCCCAGGAACAAAACUUAAAAUCUAUCACUGAUUCAUCAUAUUAAAAGACCAAAGCAGAAAAACCAUGGCAUUCAUUUGAAAAGGUCCAGCACUUACUGUAAAACUCAGUACAUUACAAUUAGAGGAAAUUAAGAUGAAUAAAUUGGAGUUGAUUUAAUUUAAUAAAAGUUAUAAACUCAGGUAAGUGUUUUAGUGUUUUAAAUCACUUCAGGACAAUUAAGUUAAUAAAGAAGACAAUUUUGAGAGAAGAAAGGGAUGGUUUUAUUUCUGAAAUUGAAAAAACAAAGCCACCAUAUCGUGUAUCUCUGGGACACCAUCCAUGUCACGGCUACAUUAUAUAGUCCAUGUGAAUGGUGCUCCUCUGGGGUGUAUUUAGAGUCUGCACAGCCAGAUUUAGAGUUUGCAAACUUUGGUCAGUUGACCUUAAUAAUGAAGUUACUGAGCAUGCUGUGAAGUGUUACUUCUGUUUACAUUUUUUUGUUCUUAGCUGCAAAGAUAGAUAAAAACACGACCUUGUUACUCUAGAUUAUGGAAAAGUAGCUUUUUGGAUUGUUGAGACUAGAGAUAGCACUUAAGAGACUGCAAUGUUGUGGACAAGAAGAAAAAACAUUUAAUUUAGCACAGGAUGACUUGGGUCAAACUGGAAAUCCCUUUGUUUUGUCUCAAAAAAUGUAUUACUGUCUAGGCACUAAGAAGUAUAACUGAUAGUUACAGAGUUGCAUUGCCGUACUUUAAAAUAGCUAGUAUCUGAGUUCCUGAUAUGGUUAAGGACCUGACACAGUGUCAGUGAGGAUGCACCUUCAAUCCCUGGCCUUGAUCAGUGGAUUGAGGAUCUGGUGUUGCGGCAAGCUUAGUCAUAGGUCCAAGAUGCAGCUCAGAUCCAGUGUGGCUGUGGCUGUGGCUGAGGCGUUGUGGACCUCAGCUGCAGUUCCAAUUCAACCUCUAGCUGGGAACUUCCAUAUGCCAUGGUGAGGCCAUAACACAACAACAAUAACAAAUAAUUAGUAUCUAAAUAGCCAUAAUUACAGGUCAUUGAAAUACUUUAGAUGAAGAGACCACAGAUUGCCAAGAGUGUUUCAACUGGCAAUAGCAUAUUUUCAGGUGCCCCUUGAUGUAUAUAUAUAUUUUUUAGGGCCACACCCAUGGCAUAUGGAGGUUCCUAGGCUAGGGGUCAAAUUGGAGCUAUGGCCGCCAUGGCUGCCAGCCUGCGCCACAGCCACAGGAACUCAAGAUCCAAACCUCCUCUGCACCCUACACCACAGGUCACAGCAAUGCUGGAUCCUUAACCCACUGAUCGAGGUCAGAGAUAGGACCCCUGACCUCAUGGAUCCCCAUGGAUCCUAGUCGGGUUCAUUAUUGCUGAGCCACAAUUUGGAACUCCCCAUAUCUGUUUUUUGAAUUGUGCACCUUUUCAGUUACCUGCAAAACAGUGAUCUUUGGGGAGAUUUCAUCUGUCAAGAUAAAAUGGCCCUGAAGAUGAACUACUUGAGAACAUUGAAGUUCCACUAAGAAGUAAGGACCCAGGCUGCUAUUCAUUGGGCUGAGAUAAUAGUCUAUCUUUACACUACUGCUGUAGUGUACACUACUAUUCAUACACUACUGCUAGAAAGAUAUAUAACAAUCCUUUGACUCCUGCUUUCCUACUGAGAAAUGAGACUGUCAGAAACUUUGCUGUUUGAGAUUAUAUCAGUGAACAGUGAAAUACAACUUUUUGUCAGGAAAAGCUAAGUCCUUUUGACACAGAGCAUACCCUCGAUUUACAACUUUAGGACUUCAAAUGAGGGGUUGCUGGACACAAAAUUCACAUCUGCCUUAACUUCUUUGCCAAGAAAUAGGACCCAAUGUCCACUUCAGGGUCCAUAACCUGGCAUAGGCUUCUUAUCACACAAUCCUACUAUGCUUUGAGCCUAUCAAGACACUGCUUCAUUCAUAUUUCGCCUAAAUUCUACCCUUCCCCAAACCCUUUAUUUUAUUUAUUUAUUUAUUUAUUUUUGUCUUUUUGCUAUUUCUUGGGCCGCUCCCGCGGCAUAUGGAGGUUCCCAGGCUAGGGGUCGUAUCGGAGCUGCAGCCACCAGCCUACGCCAGAGCCACAGCAACACUGGAUCCGAGCCACGUCUGCAACCUACACCACAGCUCACAGCAACGCCGGAUCCUUAACCCACUGAGCAAGGGCAGGGACCGAACCCGCAACCUCGUGGUUCCUAGUCGGAUUCGUUAACCACUGCGCCACGAUAGGAACUCCCCCCAAACCCUUUAGUUUUCCCAUUUGAAAAAAUUUUAAGAGUUCUUUCACGUUCUUGAUGUUUUAAUUUUUUAUUUUUGAAUUUUCACUUUCUUGUGACCGAUUUUGAAUUCUGUUUAAUUGUAGAAAGCAGAGUAAUGUAAGAUACAGUCAAAGCAAUAUAUCUUAGCCAAAAGGAAGGUGAAGCUCAAGUGAAGCAAUUGUGAGAAAUUACCCUGAAUUGAGUUUAUGUAACCUAGCUUCUAUGAUCUAACUUUUACAUAUCCUGAAAUUUGGCAUGUGAAUAAUUUUGAAGGGUAGAAGAAUGGAGAGAGAGGUAAAUGUCCAAAGUUUUAAGGGGGAGGGGUGGGGGGGAUGAUUGUUGAUAUGCAGAAACUUUGAAGGAAAAAAAAGUAGAGACAAAUUUUAAGAGCUGCUUUAUGGAAUAGAAUUUAGAUUUAGCCCAUGGUGAUAGCGGAAAAUAGACAAGAUAGAAUCAAUUUUAGAGACAUUUCACCUGAGAAGAACUGCACUAUCAAGUUUUCUUGGAAUUGGUUGCCUUGGGAGAUCAUGAGAGGUUCUCAGUCCUGCCCUUCCAGGAACAUUUGUUGAUAGGAUAACAUGUUUUGGGUUAAGAUUGGAAGAGACUGUCUAAGGUCCAAUAGUUUGGGUACACCUGCUGGUGUAUCGCCCUUCCAUCUGUAUCCCCACAGGCCGGCAAACAGUGAUAGGUUUUAUGAGUACUUAAGUUUAAAAAGUGAUAUAUGUGUAUAUGUAUAUAUUUUUUUGGCUGCAGAAAGUUCCUGGGCCAGGGAUCAAACCCCCCAUGGCAAUGACAACACUGAAUCCUUAACUGCUAAGCCACCCGGGAACUCCAAAAAAUGUGAUUUUCUUGAUAAAAUAGGAAGAGAUGUUAUACUUUUGUGGGUGUGGAUCAAAAACAAAUUGUUUUUUGUAAAGGUAAAAUUUAAAACUGCUUUGGAUGGAGUUCCCAAAUACAUUUUACAUUGCAAUUUGCUAUGCACAAGAACACACACACCUGAAACAGUUUUCAGGAACUUGCCAGUAAUAUAGGUACAGUUUUCUCUGAUAUUUUCUUUUCUUUUUUCGUUUUCUUUUCUAAGCUGUUCCUGCAGCAUAGAGAUUCCCAGGCUAGGGGUCAAUUGGGAGCUGUAGCUGCCGGCCUACACUACAGCCAGAGUAAUGCCAGGUCUGAGUUUACACUGCAGCUCGUGGCAAUAUUGGAUCUUUAACCCAUUGAGUAGGGCCAGGGAUUGAACGCGCAUCCUUGUGGAUACUAUCGGGUUUGUUUCUGCUGAGCCACAGUGGAAACCCCAUCUUUGUUAUUUUCUUUUUCUUUCUCUUUGCUUUUUAGGGCUGCACCUGCAGCAUGUGGAAGUUUUCAGGCUAGGGGUCAAAUCAGAGCUUCAGCUGCUGGCCUACGCCACAGCCACAGCCACAGCCACGCCAGAUUAGCAUCCCCAAGCCACUGGGUGAGGCCGGGGAUUGAACCCGCAUCCUCAUAGAUACUACUCAGGUGCUUAACCUGCUAAGCCACAAUGGGAACUACUGACAUUUUCUAUUUGCUUUUUCUUCCUGCCUGCCUGCCUUCUUUCCUUCCUUUCUCCCUCCUUUUUAGAUCUGCACAUGUGGCAUAUGGACAUUCCCAGGCUAGGGGUCAAAGCAGAGCUGCAGCUGUCAGCCUACACCUCAGCAAUGCCCGAUCCGAGCCUCGCCUCUGACCUACACCACAGCUCACCGCAACGUCGGAUCCUUAACCCACUGAGCCAGGCCAGGUAUCGAACCCGCAUCCUCAUGGAUUCUAGUCGGAGUCGUUAAUGCUGAACCACAAUGGGACCUCCUUUCCUUCCUCCCUCCUUCCCUCCCUUCCUUUCUUCUUUCCUUCCUCCUUCCCUCCUCCUGUCUUUUUUUCUCUUCUUUUUAAAAUGCUAGUUAUUAAACAUCAGUGUAUUUCAGGACCCAAUAGUGGGCUGUGACUGAUUGAAAAAUAUCGUUCCAGAUGUUUACCACCCUAAGUGAUUAGUGAAGAAAACUGUUAGCUAUAUUUCAUUUCUCAAAACUCAGGUUUGAAGUGCACUUUAAGUAUCUAAUGGGAAAUUUGGUGAAUUCUAGAAAGUUAGCUAGGUGUUUUCUUCCCGCAUUAGCCAGAAUAAUAUGAUUUCUUCAGGGUAAAAAUGAUCAAUUUGAGCUAAUUAGUGUAGUAAAUUGUCUAAACGUCUCUCUGAUUUGCCUUGAGAAAACGAUUUUGUGCUCUUUAAGUUGUAUAAAGCUUAAGGUGUCAAUAAUCAAAUGUGGGUUUCUAUUUUAAAGUUCUGCUUCCUCACCUGGAUCGUGAUUGUUUCUCCAUAUUUUGAUGUGCAGGUUUGUUAUAAAGUGGCACUGGAUCUACGGUUUUUAGUUGUUUUCUCAUCUAUAAGGUUAGGAGCGUUGGAUCAGAUCAUCUCAAAGGUGUGGUAAUUUCCAUCUCUGAAAUGCUGUUGAUCCUUGACUAUCAGAAUGUUAGUUUUACAUACCUCACAUUUCAGGAAUAUUGUUUUGGUCUUAAAACAAUUUGGUUGCU